AGCGAACGUUAGCGGCGCGCCUAACACAUGCAAGUCGCACGAGAAAGGGAGCAAUCCCCGGUACAGUGGCGCACGGGUGAGUAACACGUAGAUGACCUUCCCUGGAGUGGUGGAUAACCUGCCGAAAGGCGGGCUAAUACAGCAUGGGACCACAUGGUUUUGACCGAGUGGUGAAAGCGGGCCUCUGUUCACAAGCUCGCGCUCUGGGAUGGGUCUGCGUCCCAUCAGCUAGUUGGUGAGGUAAUGGCUCACCAAGGCAUCGACGGGUAGCUGGUCUGAGAGGAUGACCAGCCACACUGGAACUGAGACACGGUCCAGACUCCUACGGGAGGCAGCAGUGGGGAAUCUUGCGCAAUGGGCGAAAGCCUGACGCAGCGACGCCGCGUGAGUGAUGAAGGCCUCGGUGUAAGCUCUGUGGAGAGGGACGAAGUAAGUAGUUGG
rnacentral:rRNA from 1 species